rnacentral:rRNA from 1 species
AGAAUCAACGCUGGCGGCGUGCCUAACACAUGCAAGUCGAACGAGAAAGGGUAGCAAUACCUGAGUAAAGUGGCGCACGGGUGAGUAACACGUGACUAACCUACCCUAGAGUGGGGGAUAACUGAGGGAAACCUUAGCUAAUACCGCAUAAUACCCACGGGUCAAAGGAGCAAUUCGCUUUAGGAGGGGGUCGCGGUCGAUUAGUUAGUUGGCGGGGUAAUGGCCCACCAAGACUUUGAUCGAUAU